CCUACGGGUGGCAGCAGUGAGGAAUAUUGGUCAAUGGACGAGAGUCUGAACCAGCCAAUUAGCGUGAAGGAUGACUGCCCUAUGGGUUGUAAACUUCUUUUAUAAAGGAAUAAAACGAGGCACGCGUGCCUUUUUGCAUGUACUUUAUGAAUACGGAUCGGCUAACUCCGUGCCAGCAGCCGCGGUAAUACGGAGGGUUCGAGCGUUAUCCGGAAUUAUUGGGUUUAAAGGGAGCGUAGAUGGGUUGGUAAGGCAGUUGUGAAAGUUUGGGGCUCAACCCUAAAAUUGCAAUUGAUACUGGGAGUCUUGAGUACAGGUGAGGUAGGCGGAAUUCGUGGUGUAGCGGUGAAAUGCUUAGAUAUCGCGAAGAACCCCGAUUGCGAAGGCAGCUUACUAAACUGUGACUGACACUGAUGCUCGAAAGUGUGGGUAUCAAACAGGAUUAGAUACCCCUGUAGUC
rnacentral:rRNA from 1 species